UCCUGCUCACCAUGCCAACAUCUAUUGGAUAGCUUCAUAAAUUCUUUAUCUUUUGCCAAAUAAAUUUCUACAUCAUUCUUGUUGAAAAAUAGUGAUUGCCAUCAAAUUUCUCCACCUAGAACCUUGCAUUCGAAACCUUUACUGCUAUACCGAAAACCCCAAACUAAGCUCUAAUACCACUUGUUGUGGUGCGUAGAAUUCUUACAUCAUUCUUGCUGAAAAAUAGUGAUUGCCAUCAAAUUUCUCUACCUCGAACUUUGCAUUUGAAACCUUUACUGUCAUACCGAAAACCUCAAACCAGGCUCAGAUUUUGGAACAUAAAGUUACCUUGAUAACCCCGACAAAAAAUUGAGUCGAGCAAACCCCUUUUAAACCACUCUUCCUUCAUUCUCUUUACUUCUGGCAACUAUUACUGACAACACUAGAUAGAGACGUGAGAGCAGCGAGAAACUGACUUUCUCUCUAAUUAGAAAGGGAAACAACCUAAAAUCUCUAUGGAAACCGCUUAUCUACAAGAAACAAGUAUCUCAAUCUUCAGGAGUCUACAAGAGGCAAUAUCAUAAUGUUUCUCUCCAUAAGAAGCUCUCUUCCCACUAAGAGAAAACCUUCAUG
rnacentral:lncRNA from 1 species